UGCAGAAUCCCGUGAACCAUCGAGUCUUUGAACGCAAGUUGCGCCCGAAGCCACUAGGCCGAGGGCACGCCUGCCUGGGCGUCACAC
rnacentral:rRNA from 3 species